rnacentral:rRNA from 1 species
AUUGAACGCUGGCGGCAGGCUUAACACAUGCAAGUCGCACGAGUGGCGGACGGGUGAGUAAUGUCUGGGAAACUGCCUGAUGUUGGGGGAUAACUACUUGAAACGGUAGCUAAUACUGCAUACCAUCAGAUGUGCCCAGAUGGGAUUAGUUAGUUGGUGGGGUAACGGCUCACCAAGGCGACGAUCCCUAGCUGGUCUGAGAGGAUGACCAGCCACAGUGGAACUGAGACACGGUCCAGACUCCUACGGGAGGCAGCAGUGGGGAAUAUUGCACAAUGGGCGCAAGCCUGAUGCAGCCAUGCCGCGUGUAUGAAGAAGGCCUUCGGGUUGUAAAGUACUUUCAGCGGGGAGGCGUUACCCGCAGAAGAAGCACCGGCUAACUCCGUGCCAGCAGCCGCGGUAAUUC